rnacentral:lncRNA from 1 species
GAAAAAAUUGAAAACCCUUUUUUUUUCUUACAAUAUAUAUACUAAUAAUAAGAUGUAAUAUGAUUGCCAAUGAGACAACUCUCCACCAGAAUUUUGAUAUGAUAAAUGAUAUAGACAGUGGGUGCUCUCUCACUAGCAAAACAACAUAACUGGAAAAUAUAAGGACUUACACCACAGGCACAGGGACCUAUUCUACUGAAUACACACAGCACCUGAGCAUCAAACCCUACAGACGAGUACAGUCUAUGUAAAAUAAGAAGAUGCGGUGUGAUUGCAUAAGGAGACAACUCUUCAACAGAAUACAAAACCAUUUGAUUUAAAUACAAAAUAUCUGUAAAACCUGGCUGAGCAUGGACACAAC